rnacentral:ncRNA from 2 species
ACACGUGCUCCGGGGUCGGUGAGAGUCCGAACCGGCGGUGACAGCCCGCGACCCGCGGUCCUCCUCGGAGGGGCGCGGUUGACCUGGUGGAACUCCAGGGCCGACGGUGAAAGUCCGGAUGGGAGGCAGCACGUGC